rnacentral:rRNA from 1 species
AACGAACGCUGGCGGCAGGCUUAACACAUGCAAGUCGAGCGCCUCGCCAGAGGAGCGGCAGACGGGUGAGUAACGCGUGGGAACGUACCCUUAUCUUCGGAAUAGCUCUGGGAAACUGGAAGUAAUACCGAAUGUGCCCUUAGGGGGAAAGAUUUAUCGGAUAAGGAUCGGCCCGCGUUGGAUUAGCUAGUUGGUGGGGUAAAGGCCUACCAAGGCGACGAUCCAUAGCUGGUCUGAGAGGAUGAUCAGCCACAUUGGGACUGAGAAACGGCCCAAACUCCUACGGGAGGCGGCAGUGGGGAAUAUUGGACAAUGGGCGCAAGCCUGAUCCAGCCAUGCCGCGUGAGUGAUGAAGGCCUUAGGGUUGUAAAGCUCUUUCACCGGAGAAGAUAAUGACGGUAUCCGGAGAAGAAGCCCCGGCUAACUUCGUG